rnacentral:sRNA from 1 species
UUUACCAGAUAAGCUUUUUAAAAAAUUAUGUUCAACAAUUAUCUUUUUAUUGUAGUUAAGUUUUUCAAAUUCUUGCUGUUUUCAAUAUCUCCUGGUUUCAUCAUCCCUACUGAGAAAUUACGUAUACAAUCUUAUAAUUAAUUGUUUGCUUUGGUCUUCUUUUAUUUUCCUGCUUUAUGAUAAAAUUUUCAUUAGCCUAAAUGUGUUAUUAAUUUUUCUUGUUUCUUAAAUAUUUGUUCAAUAUUAUAUUCACAACUUUAAGUUCAAAGGAUCAGUUUUCUGAACAGAUCUUCAUACACUAUAAAUUCCUUGUUGUAUGACCAUCUCUAAUAAUUUUAUUUUUAAUUUUUAGGUAAUGCCUGAUUAUAAUUUAAAUAAGGACGUUGACAAAAAUUAAUGAACCAUUUGCACAAAAAAUAUUUGAAUCAACAUUUAUUCACUCCUGGAAGAUAUUAAAUAUUUCAACAGAAUAUUCCAAUGGAUGGAACUUUUUCCAGCAUCUGGAUUAUUUUCCAGUGUUGAUAGCUGAAUGCGAUUUCUUAUUCUACUGUGGAUCAAUAGAUCAAGAUUCCUUCAGAGAGGAAAGGCAAGUACCCAAAGGUUUUCUUCUAAUGACUGAAACACGUGGUCAGAAGACACACUAUUAACACUCGUCCUAAUAAUUUUUCAGCUAAAGAGUUGGGAAUGUAAGGAAAGGAAAUGGCUAGACUAUUCAAGAUUCUACUGGCAGAUUAUUUGUGAUGGUUGGUCUCUUUUUGCCUCCUAGAACAUUCAAGAGUACUUCAAGAUGCAAAGGAAAGAAGAGUUAAGAAAAGAAGGCCUUUCAUAACAUAUUGUUCCACAGGGGCUCUGAGCCCCACCAGGACAAAGUUUUCACAGUUGCUAGAGUUAACAAGACACGAAACCUACUAGGAAAAGACCUGACUUCUAUUUGCCAUGAUGGAAAACUCCCCACAGUAAUUCUGGAAUGUUUUAUGUUACUAUCUGCCUUAUGGACAAGAUCCUGCUUCUUAAAUGAACCCUAAUCUCUUCAAUUCCAUCAGCAUGAAGAGAAACAAUUGUGCAUCAAAUCAUUGGCUAUACAAUAAGGAUAUGCUGUCUCUCAACAAAGAAAAUGGAACCAAAACUGAGGGUAUAUUGGCAAUAUCACUAAACAUAGCAUCAUGUCAAACAAUAAAGAAGUUGGAUUGUGAAAAAGAUGUAAACAUAAAAACAAUCCAUCUGUGCAUAUGGUAGCAUGUAUCUUAAAGGAAUUACUUCAAAUUAUCAAAGGAAAUUUGCUGACAUCUAGACUAUAUGAAGAAUGACUUGGGGUACAUGACCAGGUCAAUGAAGAAGAGAAAGUAGCCACUGUGCAGAGUCCUUAUUUCAAAUACCUCCCACCAGGACCAAAUGUGUAUGGUCUUGUCUAUUGAUAAGACAGAAAACCUACUUGAAAAAGAGCUGACAACAAUUUGUGAUGAUCGAAAUCUGCCCACAGAAAUUCUGGAUAUGCUGUUCUUCAUCCAAGAAAAGGGGCCCCAAAUUCAGGAUAUAUCCAUAAUUUCACACAACAUAGCAUCAUGAAGAAGUUGGAUUGUGAAGAAGAUGUAAACAUAAAAAAAUAAUCCAUCUGUGUAUAUGGUAGCAUGUAUCUUAAAGGUAAGGAAAGUCCUUGCAUCAUACACCCUCAGGAUUCUUCUCAAUCUAUUUGAGUAGUUUCCUUCAUUAUGCAUUCCCUUGAGUGGUAGUAGAUAACAUAUAAGAGAAAUCUGAUAAAAAAGCAAAAACAAAAACAAAAAGCUGUCAUAAUGAGCAGUAAUGUAACUAAGUAUCUUUCAUUUGAUUCUUCCACAAGUAUAUGGAGAGUCACUUCAUACAUGCAUAUGAGUUUCACCUGAUAUGCAUGCCUCCUCAGAUGCAUUUGUCUAAGAGUGUUCUUAAGGGUGUCACUCUCCUUUUUUUCUGAGAGGCAGGUUUCUCUUCCUAGGUAUAGAGCACGUGACUCCUUCAUGUAUAUCUUUGCUGUACAUACCCAGUAGAAUCUCUUGGUCUGCUUGUCCCUCUCACUCACAAAAUAUUGGUAUCCAAAUGAAGGUUCACAUGGCUAUGUAACACGUAUUCUUAAGUACUGGGCCAUUCCUUCAGCACCAUAAUUUUAUUGUUAUAUUUAAAAAUUAAAAUCAUUUCACUCCUCCCUAUUCCUUGCUCUAAUGUUGUUUCCCUUCAAUCUCCCACUUCUGAUAAAAUACAUUUUCUUUAACUGUUAUUUUGUAGAUACAAAUAAAUCCAUAAAUAUGUUCAAAUAACCUGAUGAGUCCAUUAUCCUUGUUAGUAUCUGUACUAUUUCCAAAGGAACCAACUGUGAUUGGCUUACAAAUUAGGGGGUUCAUUUUUGAGAAAGACCAAUUUCCUCACUCUUCAUAGUAUUUAUUUGCAUGUAGUUCCUUAUCUAAAAGUUUGACUUCAUGAGAUUUCCUCAUUUUGAUUUAGUGUUACUAACUUGGAUAAUGUUUUGUUUAGAACUUGCUUAAACAACCAGACUGUGGGACUAACAAAAGUGAAGCUUCUCCUGCAUUUCUCUGAGGCCCAAUCCCAAAGCAGAUAUCCUGAUCCUCUGGUAUACAAUCAUUCUGACUUUUUAAACAAAUUUUUGGAGCCCAAGGUUAAGGAGUUAGUAUGUAUAUGUAGGCAGUGGGGCAUGGAGCCACAGGAUAUUUUGUUCUUUGUACCUUGAAUACGUGCAGUUUUCAAUAGUCAUCAUCCAUUGCAAAAAGAAUCUCCUUCGAUGGAUGGGUAAGGACUACAUUAUCUGGGAAUAUCAUCUUAAACAAUUAGACUACAGUUAGGAACAUCAUGCUUGUUUAGUGAAAUGGUCACAGGAAUUUAAGAGCCACGACCUC